GUCUUUUCUGCCUCUUCCUUGUACUUUUUCUGGCUUGAAAGGUUUUUGACCUGCUGGGCAUGAAUGAUCUCUGGAGUAUCGACAACACUGGUGUAGUUGGCCUUCUCCAUUUCUGCCAACUGUUUGUAUUUGAUCUGGCUAGCAAUGUCAGUGGCAUUCUUUGCUCUCACAAAAUCAGGUGUUUCCAAAGCCAGUUCUGACAGACCUUUUCCUUUAAUUUCUAAUUCCAAGGCUUUUUUGUACUCUUUCUCAUUCAGGAUCUGAGUUGCAUUCUUUGCUCUUAACAUGUCUGGAGUCUCCUCCAAAACAGAUAGUCCUUUACCUUUGACACCCUCCUCCAGAUCCUUCCUGUAUUCUUUCUCGCUUGCUAUUUUGGUUGCAUAUUUGACAUGUAAUAAGGAUGGUGUUAUCUCCAAGCCAGUAAGGUUUCUGCCCUUAAUGGACUCUUCAAAGUCCCUCUUAUAUUCUUUCUCACUCUGCAUGAGCUGAGAUUCCUUUGCAGUUAGGUAUGUUGGAGUUUCAAAGUCCAGCAUAGGUUUGCCUUUUUCCUUCUCAUACUUUUCCUUGUAUUUCACGUGGCUCUGUAGUUCUGAUGCCUCCCUUAGAUGAACCUGUUCAAGAUUAUCUGGCACCAUAUGGUAGUGACCCUUACUCUUCUCAUAUUGCUUCUUGUACUGGUAAGCACUGGCAAGUUGGCUUGUAUUCAGGACAUGGUUCAUGAUCAGCGACUCAGACAUGUCUGUGACAGGCUUAUGAAGUUUCUUUAGAUCUGCUUUGUAUUUCACCUCACUAGCUAUGUUGUGAGCAUCUUUCAUGGUCUUGUAGAUUUUAGCCUCCUUUAAAUCAUACUUUGGCUUUUUGCCCUUCUCUUUGGAAAAGUUCUCCUUGUACUUCACAUGACUACUUAGCAUAUUAGCUUUCUUAAACGUUCUCAUCCAUGGUGUAUCAUAAGAUGCAGCUCCGUGCCCUCUCAUAUGCCGCUUCAGGUAUUCCGCCUGACUGGUUAGCUUGGACACUUCCUUUGCCAGCUCAAUAUCUGGACGUCCCAGCAUGGUUACACCCAGGCCAGCUUCUCCACGCUUUUUAUAUUCAAUAUCACUGAUCAACUUAGCAGCCUGAGUUGCUUUCUUAAUAUCUGGCCGAUCUGCUAUAGGUGUGUAGUGCAGCUUUGACUUGGCAUCUUUCUUGUAU
rnacentral:lncRNA from 1 species